CAGUGAAAUUGAACUCGCUGUGAAGAUGCAGUGUACCCGCGGCAAGACGGAAAGACCCCGUGAACCUUUACUAUAGCUUGACACUGAACAUUGAGCCUUGAUGUGUAGGAUAGGUGGGAGGCUUUGAAGUGUGGACGCCAGUCUGCAUGGAGCCGACCUUGAAAUACCACCCUUUAAUGUUUGAUGUUCUAACGUUGACCCGUAAUCCGGGUUGCGGACAGUGUCUGGUGGGUAGUUUGACUGGGGCGGUCUCCUCCUAAAGAGUAACGGAGGAGCACGAAGGUUGGCUAAUCCUGGUCGGACAUCAGGAGGUUAGUGCAAUGGCAUAAGCCAGCUUGACUGCGAGCGUGACGGCGCGAGCAGGUGCGAAAGCAGGUCAUAGUGAUCCGGUGGUUCUGAAUGGAAGGGCCAUCGCUCAACGGAUAAAAGGUACUCCGGGGAUAACAGGCUGAUACCGCCCAAGAGUUCAUAUCGACGGCGGUGUUUGGCACCUCGAUGUCGGCUCAUCACAUCCUGGGGCUGAAGUAGGUCCCAAGGGUAUGGCUGUUCGCCAUUUAAAGUGGUACGCGAGCUGGGUUUAGAACGUCGUGAGACAGUUCGGUCCCUAUCUGCCGUGGGCGCUGGAGAACUGAGGGGGGCUGCUCCUAGUACGAGAGGACCGGAGUGGACGCAUCACUGGUGUUCGGGUUGUCAUGCCAAUGGCACUGCCCGGUAGCUAAAUGCGGAAGAGAUAAGUGCUGAAAGCAUCUAAGCACGAAACUUGCCCCGAGAUGAGUUCUCCCUGACUCCUUGAGAGUCCUGAAGGAACGUUG
rnacentral:rRNA from 1 species